AUGGGCGGAUUCUCUGCGGCUACAGCGGCGGAGCGGUGCGCCGUCGGGAUCCACGCGUCCCCGUCCUCGCCGGCGCCGCGCCCGCGGUCGCAGCGGCCGCUGCCCGCCCGCCGCGCCGCCGCCUCCCUCGCGGUCUCCCGCCGCAGCCUCCUCGUGCCCCGCGCCGUCGCCGCGCCCACAGACCGCGCCUCCCCGGAAGUUGUCGGAAGGUUCAAGCUGGAGUCCAACUCCGAGCUCCAGGUGACUUUGAACCCAGCGCCGCAGGGUGCGGUCGCCGAGAUCAAUCUCCAGGCGACCAACACCAGCGGCUCCCUGGUUCUGCAUUGGGGCGCCCUCCGCUCGGACAGGAGAGAAUGGCUCCUCCCGUCCCGAAGACCGGAUGGAACGACAGUGUACAAGAACAAGGCCCUCAGGUCACCUUUUGUAAAGUCAGGUGACAAUUCCACGCUGAGAAUUGAGAUAGAUGAUCCCGCAGUUCAAGCCAUCGAGUUCCUUGUGUUCGACGAGGCACGGAAUAAAUGGUUUAAAAACAAUGGCCAGAAUUUCCUAAUCCAACUACAGACAAGCCGUAAUGAGGGGCAAGAUGCACCUGGUGCUACUGCUUCUGCUAUUGUGGUGCCAGAGGAUCUUGUGCAGAUCCAAUCGUACCUUCGUUGGGAAAGGAAUGGAAAGCGGUCUUAUACAGCUGACCAAGAGAAGGGGGAGUAUGAAGCAGCACGAGCAGAGUUAAUAGAGGAAUUAAACAGAGGUGUUCCACUGAAGAAGCUGCGAGCUAGAUUAACAAAAACACCCGAGUCGAGUGGAAGUGAUGCUCCUGCAUCUCAAACUACCAUAACCAGUGUCCCAGAGGAACUUGUACAAGUCCAGGCUUACCUAAGAUGGGAGAAAGCUGGCAAGCCAAAUUAUUCCCCAGAGAAGCAACUGGUUGAGUUUGAGGAAGCAAGAAAGGAACUGCAGGCUGAGUUGGAUAAUGGAGCCUCAGUUGAUCAAUUAAGGAAGAAAAUUGUGAAAGGAAACCUUGAAAAGAAAGUUUCCAAGCAACUGGAGAAGAAGAAGUACUUCUCAGUAGAAAGGAUUCAGCGCAGAAACAGAGAUAUCACGCAACUUCUUAAUAAACAUAAGCCUGUGGUUACAGAACAGCAAGUAAAAGCUGCACCCAAACAGCCAACUGUUUUUGAUCUCUUCACAAAGUCCUUGCAGGAGGGGGAUAACUGUGACGUCCUAAGCAGGAAGCUUUUCAAGAUCGGUGAUGAGGAGAUACUGGCAAUUGCCACAAAUACUCUAGGUAAAACCAGAGUUCACUUGGCAACAAACCGUAUGGAGCCACUUAUUCUUCACUGGGCACUGGCAAAAAAGCCCGGAGAAUGGGAGGCACCUCCUUCUAGCAUAGUGCCUUCUGGCUCAACAGUUCUCGACAAGGCAUGUGAAACUUCAUUCGGUGAGUCUGAAUUGGAUGGUGUGCAAUACCAGGUUGUUGAGAUAGAGCUUGAUGACGGCAGAUACAAGGGGAUGCCCUUUGUUCUCCGGCGUGGUGAAACAUGGAUAAAGAACAACGACUCCGACUUCUAUUUGGAUUUCAACACCAAAGUUACUAAGAAAUCAAAGGAUACGGGUGAUGCCGGUAAAGGCACCGCAAAGGAUUUCCUGGAAAGAAUAGCAGAUCUGGAGGAAGAUGCCCAGCGAUCUUUUAUGCACAGAUUCAAUAUUGCGGCGGAUCUAGUUGACCAAGCCAGAGAUGCUGGACUAUUGGGUAUCGUUGGACUUUUUGUUUGGAUUAGAUUCAUGUCUACCAGGCAACUAAUAUGGAACAAGAACUACAAUGUGAAACCACGUGAGAUAAGCCAAGCACAAGACAGGUUUACAGAUGACCUCGAGAAUAUGUACAAAAGUUACCCACAGUACAGAGAGAUCUUAAGAAUGUUAUUGUCUGCUGUUGGUCGUGGAGGUGAAGGUGAUGUUGGUCAGCGUAUCCGUGAUGAGAUAUUAGUAAUCCAGAGAAAUAAUGACUGCAAAGGUGGAAUUAUGGAAGAAUGGCACCAGAAACUGCACAACAAUACAAGCCCAGAUGAUGUAGUCAUAUGCCAGGCGAUAAUUGAUUAUAUCAAGAGCGAUUUCGAUAUCAACGUUUACUGGGACACCUUGAACAAAAAUGGCAUAACCAAAGAACGACUGUUGAGCUAUGAUCGUGCAAUUCAUUCAGAACCAAAAUUCAGGAGUGACCAGAAAGAGGGGUUACUCCGUGAUUUGGGCAACUAUAUGAGAAGCCUGAAGGCUGUGCACUCUGGUGCUGAUCUUGAGUCUGCUAUUGCGACAUGUAUGGGAUACAAAUCAGAGGGUGAAGGUUUCAUGGUUGGUGUUCAAAUCAACCCGGUGAAUGGUUUAUCAUCUGGUUUUCCUGAUUUGCUUCAAUUUGUGCUUGACCAUGUUGAGGAUAAGUCAGCAGAGCCACUUCUUGAGGGGUUAUCGGAGGCUCGUGUUGAACUACGCCCUUUGCUCACUGGCUCAUCUGAACGCUUGAAGGAUCUUAUCUUUUUGGACAUUGCUCUUGAUUCUACUUUCAGGACAGCAGUUGAAAGGUCGUAUGAGGAGCUGAAUGAUGCAGCACCGGAGAAAAUUAUGUACUUCAUCAGUCUUGUUCUUGAAAAUCUUGCCUUGUCCACUGACGACAACGAAGACAUCUUAUAUUGCUUAAAGGGAUGGAAUCGAGCCAUGGACAUGGUUAAGCAAAAGGAUGACCAAUGGGCCCUCUACGCUAAAGCAUUUCUUGACAGAACCAGACUUGCCCUUGCGAGCAAGGGCGAACAAUACUACAAUAUGAUGCAGCCCUCGGCUGAAUAUCUUGGCUCAUUACUCAACGUUGAGGAAUGGGCAGUUGACAUCUUCACAGAAGAAGUAAUUCGUGGUGGAUCAGCUGCCACUUUAUCUGCUCUUCUGAACCGAUUUGACCCUGUUCUCAGAAAUGUCGCACACCUUGGAAGUUGGCAGGUUAUUAGCCCAGUUGAAGUAACAGGUUAUAUUGUAGUGGUUGAUAAGUUGCUUUCUGUUCAAAACAAAACUUAUGAUAAACCAACAAUCCUUGUGGCAAAGAGUGUCAAGGGAGAGGAAGAAAUACCAGAUGGUGUUGUUGGCGUGAUAACACCUGAUAUGCCAGAUGUUCUGUCUCAUGUGUCAGUUCGAGCAAGGAAUUGCAAGGUGUUGUUUGCGACAUGCUUUGACCCGAACACCCUGUCUGAACUUCAAGGACAUGAAGGGAAGGUGUUUUCCUUCAAAACUACUUCUGCAGAUGUCACCUACAGGGAGGUAUCGGACAGUGAACUUAUGCAGUCAAGUUCUUCAGAUACACAAGGUGGUGAAGCAAUACCAUCUUUAUCAUUAGUCAAGAAAAAGUUCCUUGGAAAAUAUGCAAUAUCAGCGGAAGAGUUCUCUGAUGAAAUGGUUGGAGCAAAGUCCCGCAACAUAGCAUACCUGAAAGGAAAAGUACCUUCAUGGGUUGGUAUCCCAACAUCAGUUGCGAUACCAUUUGGGACCUUUGAGAAGAUAUUGUCUGAUGAGACCAAUAAGGAAGUAGCACAAAACAUACAGAUGCUGAAGGGCAGACUUGCUCAAGAAGAUUUUAGUGCUCUAGGAGAAAUCCGGAAAACUGUUCUUAAUCUAACUGCUCCAACUCAACUGGUUAAGGAGCUGAAGGAGAAGAUGCUAAGCUCCGGAAUGCCCUGGCCUGGAGAUGAAAGUGACCACCGUUGGGAGCAAGCAUGGAUGGCAAUUAAAAAGGUUUGGGCAUCAAAAUGGAAUGAAAGAGCAUAUUUUAGCACCCGCAAGGUGAAGCUCGAUCAUGAGUACCUUUCCAUGGCUGUUCUUGUACAAGAAAUUGUCAACGCAGACUAUGCCUUUGUUAUUCAUACUACGAACCCGUCAUCUGGAGAUUCUUCUGAGAUAUAUGCUGAAGUGGUGAAAGGACUUGGAGAAACACUUGUGGGAGCUUAUCCUGGCCGUGCCAUGAGCUUCGUGUGUAAGAAAGAUGACCUCGACUCUCCCAAGGUACUCGGUUACCCUAGCAAGCCAAUUGGUCUCUUCAUAAAGCGGUCAAUCAUCUUCCGUUCAGACUCUAAUGGUGAGGAUCUGGAAGGUUACGCUGGAGCAGGGCUGUAUGAUAGUGUCCCUAUGGAUGUGGAAGAUGAAGUUGUACUCGACUACACGACCGACCCUCUCAUCACUGACUCUGGAUUCCGGAGCUCAAUCCUCUCAAGCAUUGCACGGGCUGGCCACGCCAUCGAGGAGCUCUAUGGGUCACCGCAGGAUAUUGAGGGAGUAGUGAAGGAUGGGAAGAUCUACGUAGUCCAGACAAGACCACAGAUGUAA
rnacentral:rRNA from 1 species